rnacentral:pre_miRNA from 2 species
AUUCUUGGGGUCUGAUCCAAAGUCCACUGAAGUCAAUGGGAGACUUUUCUUUGAUUUCAUUAGGCUUUGGAUCAUACUUCUAGUUCAU